UCUCUGCCCAGACCAGCUUCCUCCCUCUGGCUCCGUUUCUAUUUCUGUCUUGCUUUCCUCCCCCCCCCAAGGCCUCAGGGGGCCCCUGGCUAGCUUGAAGCCUUCUUCCUUUUUCACCAGGACUAAGAAGGAGUUUUCAUGGAGGAUAUCUGCGAGGACCGAGAUACCCAGAACCUCUGACCUAGCCAAACCACCUUUGCCUCCCCAGGCAAGUCUCCAGUCCCUGGAUAGCCCCUCCUCCAUUACCCUCCACUCUUCAGCCGACAAUACUUCAUUUAUGCUCAUACAGAGGUCCUGAGUUCAAUUCCCAGCAACCACAUGGUGGCUCACAAUCAUCUAUAAUGGGAUCUGGUGCCCUCUUCUGGAGUGUCUGAAGGCAGCCUCACUGUAUUCAUAAUAAAUAAAUAAAUCUUUUAAAUUUU